rnacentral:rRNA from 1 species
UACGUAGGUGGCAAACGUUGUCCGGAUUUAUUGGGUUUAAAGGGUGCGUAGGCGGCCCUGUAAGUCAGUGCUGAAAUAUCCCAGCUUAACUGGGAGGGUGGCAUUGAUACUGCGGGGCUAGAGUACAGAUGAGGUAGGCGGAAUUGACGGUGUAGCGGUGAAAUGCUUAGAUAUCGUCAAGAACACCUAUAGCGAAGGCAGCUUACUAGGCUGUAACUGACGCUGAGGCACGAAAGUGUGGGGAUCAAACAGG